rnacentral:rRNA from 1 species
GUAGGGAAUAUUGGACAAUGGGCGAAAGCCUGAUCCAGCAAUGCCGCGUGAGUGAUGAAGGCCUUAGGGUUGUAAAGCUCUUUUACCAGGGAUGAUAAUGACAGUACCUGGAGAAUAAGCUCCGGCUAACUCCGUGCCAGCAGCCGCGGUAAUACGGAGGGAGCUAGCGUUGUUCGGAAUUACUGGGCGUAAAGCGCGCGUAGGCGGCGAUUUAAGUCAGAGGUGAAAGCCCGGGGCUCAACCCCGGAAUAGCCUUUGAGACUGGAUUGCGAGAAUCCUGGCGAGGUGAGUGGAAUUCCGAGUGUAGAGGUGAAAUUCGUAGAUAUUCGGAAGAACACCAGUGGCGAAGGCGGCUCACUGGACAGGUAUUGACGCUGAGGUGAGAAAGCGUGGGGAGCAAACAGGAUUAGAAACCCUGGUAGUCC